AGAGUUUGAUCCUGGCUCAGAACGAACGCUGGCGGCGUGGAUAAGACAUGCAAGUCGAACGAGACUUUUCGUUGUAGCAAUACGAUGGAAAGUUUAGUGGCGAACGGGUGCUUAACACGUGGGCAACCUGCCAUGAAGUGGGGGAUAGCUCGCCGAAAGGCGAAUUAAUACCGCAUGUGAUUAGAGAGGACAUCCUUUCAAAAUUAAAGUCGGGGCAACCUGACGCUUCUUGUGGGGCCCGCGGCCUAUCAGCUAGUUGGUGAGGUAACGGCUCACCAAGGCUUUGACGGGUAGCUGGUCUGAGAGGACGACCAGCCACACUGGGACUGAGACACGGCCCAGACACCUACGGGUGGCAGCAGUCGAGAAUUUUUGACAAUGGGGGAAACCCUGAUCGAGCGACGCCGCGUGGAGGAUGAAGGUCUUCGGAUUGUAAACUCCUGUCAUUUGGGAACAAGGUGCACACGUUAACUGCGUGAGUAUUGAUAGACCAGAAGAG
rnacentral:rRNA from 1 species